rnacentral:ncRNA from 2 species
CCUUAAUAUUACCUCCGAGCCUUUGAACCUGUGAUAUGAGAUUAUGGUUCCCCGGCCGUUAGGGUUCAUCUGGAAACGGAUGUGCCUCCCGUGUGGAAAGGAUGGUAGGUUUAUUUAGC